GUGCAAUGGCAUAAGCCAGCUUGACUGCGAGCGUGACGGCGCGAGCAGGUGCGAAAGCAGGUCAUAGUGAUCCGGUGGUUCUGAAUGGAAGGGCCAUCGCUCAACGGAUAAAAGGUACUCCGGGGAUAACAGGCUGAUACCGCCCAAGAGUUCAUAUCGACGGCGGUGUUUGGCACCUCGAUGUCGGCUCAUCACAUCCUGGGGCUGAAGUAGGUCCCAAGGGUAUGGCUGUUCGCCAUUUAAAGUGGUACGCGAGCUGGGUUUAGAACGUCGUGAGACAGUUCGGUCCCUAUCUGCCGUGGGCGCUGGAGAACUGAGGGGGGCUGCUCCUAGUACGAGAGGACCGGAGUGGACGCAUCACUGGUGUUCGGGUUGUCAUGCCAAUGGCACUGCCCGGUAGCUAAAUGCGGAAGAGAUAAGUGCUGAAAGCAUCUAAGCACGAAACUUGCCCCGAGAUGAGUUCUCCCUGACUCCUUGAGGGUCCUGAAGGAACGUUGAAGACGACGACGUUGAUAGGCCGGGUGUGUAAGCGCAGCGAUGCGUUGAGCUAACCGGUACUAAUGAACCGUGAGGCUUAAC
rnacentral:rRNA from 1 species